UACGGGGGGGGCAAGCGUUGUUCGGAAUUACUGGGCGUAAAGGGCUCGUAGGCGGCCAACUAAGUCAGACGUGAAAUCCCCCGGCUCAACCUGGGAACUGCGUCUGAUACUGGAUGGCUUGAAUCCGGGAGAGGGAAGUGGAAUUUCAGGUGUAGCGGUGAAAUGCGUAGAUAUCUGAAGGAACAUCAGUGGCGAAAGCGACUUCCUGGACCAAUACUGACGCUCAUGUGCGAAAGCGUGGGGAGCAAACAGG
rnacentral:rRNA from 1 species